rnacentral:rRNA from 1 species
UACGUAGGGUGCAAGCGUUUAAUCGGAAUUACUGGGCGUAAAGCGUGCGCAGGCGGCUUUGCAAGACAGAUGUGAAAUCCCCGGGCUCAACCUGGGAACUGCAUUUGUGACUGCAUGGCUAGAGUACGGUAGAGGGGGAUGGAAUUCCGCGUGUAGCAGUGAAAUGCGUAGAUAUGCGGAGGAACACCGAUGGCGAAGGCAAUCCCCUGGACCUGUACUGACGCUCAUGCACGAAAGCGUGGGGAGCAAACAGG